AGAUGGCGACCGGCGCACGGGUGAGUAACACGUAUCCAACCUGCCGAUAACUCGGGGAUAGCCUUUCGAAAGAAAGAUUAAUACCCGAUGGUAUAAUCAGACCGCAUGGUCUUAUUAUUAAAGAAUUUCGGUUAUCGAUGGGGAUGCGUUCCAUUAGGCAGUUGGUGAGGUAACGGCUCACCAAACCUUCGAUGGAUAGGGGUUCUGAGAGGAAGGUCCCCCACAUUGGAACUGAGACACGGUCCAA
rnacentral:rRNA from 1 species